rnacentral:rRNA from 1 species
CCUACGGGGGGCAGCAGUGGGGAAUAUUGGACAAUGGGCGCAAGCCUGAUCCAGCAAUGCCGCGUGGGUGAAGACGGCCUGCGGGUUGUAAAGCCCUUUAGGUGGGGAAGAAGGAUAGGGUACGAACAAUGCCUUAUUUUGACAUUACCCACGGAAUAAGCACCGGCUAACUCCGUGCCAGCAGCCGCGGUAAUACGGAGGGUGCGAGCGUUAAUCGGAAUGACUGGGCGUAAAGCGUGCGUAGGCGGUAACGUUAGUCAGCCGUGAAAGCCCUGGGCUCAACCUGGGAAUGGCGGUUGAAACGGCGUAACUUGAGUGGGCUAGAGGACUGUGGAACUCCCGGUGUAGCGGUGAAAUGCGUAGAGAUCGGGAAGAACACCGAUGGCGAAGGCAGCGGUCUGGGGCCACACUGACGCUGAGGCACGAAAGCGUGGGGAGCAAACAGGAUUAGAUACCCCGGUAGUC